UACGUAGGUGGCGAGCGUUGUCCGGAUUUAUUGGGCUUAAAGGGUGCGUAGGCGGCUUUGUAAGUCAGUGGUGAAAUACUCCAGCUUAACUGGAGGGGUGCCAUUGAUACUGCGGAGCUUGAGUACAGAUGAGGUAGGCGGAAUUGACGGUGUAGCGGUGAAAUGCAUAGAUAUCGUCAAGAACACCGAUAGCGAAGGCAGAUUACUGGGCUGUAACUGACGCUGAUGCACGAAAGUGUGGGGAUCAAACAGG
rnacentral:rRNA from 1 species